CUGGAAUAUUCUUAUAUUAUAAUUAACUUCGUCAGCCAUUAAAUAAAAAGCUUGGGAGUUUAUACAAAUGUGAAGUCUUAGUUAAUGUUCUCUUGUCUCGUUCCUUCAGAUGCACAGUAAAUCCUGACACCUCGAAAUAACAAAAUACAUCGGAGGAUACGUAUUUGCCUCUGG